rnacentral:rRNA from 1 species
GACGAACGCUGGCGGCGUGCCUAAUACAUGCAAGUAGAACGCAGUUGCGAACGCGUGAGUAACGCGUAUGUAACUUCCUCAUCGCUUCGGAUUACUCUUUGAAACGAUAGCUAAUACCGCCUACUUUGCGAUGGACCUCCUUUGUAUUAGCUAGUUGGUGAGGUAACGGUUCACCAAGACGACGAUACAUAGCCGACCUGAGAGGGUGAUCGGCCACGCUGGGACCGAGACCCGGCCCAGACUCCUACGGGAGGCAGCAGUAGGGAAUCUUCGGCAAUGGACGGAAGUCUGACCGAGCAACGCCGCUUGAGUGAAGAAGGUUUUCGGAUCGUAAAGCUCUGUUGUUAGAGAAGCGGAAACUAAAGAGAAAGGGACGGCUAACUACGUGCCAGCAGCCGCGGUAAUUG